rnacentral:rRNA from 1 species
GAUGAACGCUGGCGGCGUGCCUAAUACAUGCAAGUCGAGCGAACGGACGAGAAGCUUGCUUCUCUGAUGUUAGCGGCGGACGGGUGAGUAACACGUGGAUAACCUACCUAUAAGACUGGGAUAACUUCGGGAAACCGGAGCUAAUACCGGAUAAUAUUUUGAACCGCAUGGUUCAAAGGUGAAAGACGGUCUUGCAGUCACUUAUAGAUGGAUCCGCGCUGCAUUAGCUAGUUGGUAAGGUAACGGCUUACCAAGGCAACGAUGCAUAGCCGACCUGAGAGGGUGAUCGGCCACACUGGAACUGGGACACGGUCCAGACUCCUACGGGAGGCAGCAGUAGGGAAUCUUCCGCAAUGGGCGAAAGCCUGACGGAGCAACGCCGCGUGAGUGAUGAAGGUCUUCGGAUCGUAAAACUCUGUUAUUAGGGAAGAACAUAUGUGUAAGUAACUGUGCACAUCUUGACGGUACCUAAUCAGAAAGCCACGGCUAACUACGUG